rnacentral:tRNA from 1 species
AAGAUUUUAAGUUAAUUAAACUAAUAUCCUUCAAAGAUUUAAAUAAAAGUAAAAUCCUUUAAAUCUU